rfam:Myotis davidii contig170733, whole genome shotgun sequence.
GGUGGUUCUCAGGUGACGCACCCGGAACCAGAGAGGAGGGAGCCUGAUUCUGGGGUGCGUCACCCGAGAACCGCC